rnacentral:tRNA from 1 species
GGGCUCGUGGUCUAGCGGCUUGCAGUUGCCCGUGGAUGACGCUUCCUUGACGUGGAAGAGGUCGGCGGUUCAAAUCCGCUCGAGCCCA